GGCGGCUUGGCCAAGUGGUAAGGCGACGGCCUGCAAAGCCGUUAUUCUCCAGUUCAAAUCUGGAAGCCGCCUCCA
rnacentral:tRNA from 10 species